GAGGAACCGAGGACCCCAGCAGUGAGUUAGCUGCAUCAGUCUUUGGCAGAGCUAGCCAAGAGGAUUGCAGGUACGGGCUAGACUGAGAAGUCAAAAAGAGUAAAGUCACGUGUUUGUAAUAGAUAGAAAGUGGACAUGAUAAAUUGUAAGAUGAUGUAAAGUUUGAAUAGUCAUGUUAUGUGUAAUAAUAUUGAGGAAUAGAAGUUGUGCUUGACCCUA